AGAUUGAACGCUGGCGGCAUGCCUUACACAUGCAAGUCGAACGGUAACAGGUUAAGCUGACGAGUGGCGAACGGGUGAGUAAUAUAUCGGAACGUGCCCAGUCGUGGGGGAUAACGUGCUCGAAAGAGCAGCUAAUACCGCAUACGACCUGAGGGUGAAAGCGGGGGAUCGCAAGACCUCGCGCGAUUGGAGCGGCCGAUAUCAGAUUAGGUAGUUGGUGGGGUAAAGGCCCAACGAGCCAACGAUCUGUAGCUGGUCUGAGUAGGACGACCAGCCCACACUGGGACUGAGACACGGCCCAGACUCCUACGGGAGCAGCGAGUGGGGAAUUUGGACAAGUGGGCGCAAGCCUGAUCCAGGCCAGUCGCCGCGUGCCGGGAAGACGGCCGUUCGGGUUGUAAACCGUCUUUUGCGUAAGGAAGAAAGGUUCGUAGUUAA
rnacentral:rRNA from 1 species